GACAGAGGAUGCAAGCGUUAUCCGGAAUGAUUGGGCGUAAAGCGUCUGUAGGUGGCUUUUUAAGUCUGCCGUCAAAUCCCAGGGCUUAACCCUGGACAGGCGGUGGAAACUACCAAGCUGGAGUACGGUAGGGGGCAGGGGGAAUUUCCGGUGGAGCGGUGAAAUGCGUAGAGAUCGGAAAGAACACCAACGGCGAAAGCACUCUGCUGGGCCGACACUGACACUGAGAGACGAAAGCUAGGGGAGCGAAUGGG
rnacentral:rRNA from 1 species